AUUGAACGCUGGCGGCAGGCCUAACACAUGCAAGUCGAGCGGCAGCGGGAAAGUAGCUUGCUACUUUUGCCGGCGAGCGGCGGACGGGUGAGUAAUGCCUGGGGAUCUGCCCAGUCGAGGGGGAUAACUACUGGAAACGGUAGCUAAUACCGCAUACGCCCUACGGGGGAAAGCAGGGGACCUUCGGGCCUUGCGCGAUUGGAUGAACCCGGGUGGGAUUAGCUAGUUGGUGGGGUAAUGGCUCACCAAGGCGACGAUCCCUAGCUGGUCUGAGAGGAUGAUCAGCCACACUGGAACUGAGACACGGUCCAGACUCCUACGGGAGGCAGCAGUGGGGAAUAUUGCACAAUGGGGGAAACCCUGAUGCAGCCAUGCCGCGUGUGUGAAGAAGGCCUUCGGGUUGUAAAGCACUUUCAGCGAGGAGGAAAGGUUGGUAGCUAAUAACUGCCAGCUGUGACGUUACUCGCAGAAGAAGCACCGGCUAACUCCGUGCCAGCCGCCGCAGUAACAC
rnacentral:rRNA from 1 species